UGAAUAUUGGCAAUGAGAACGAUCAAGUGUCUUAAGGGCAUUU
rnacentral:rRNA from 16 species